rnacentral:rRNA from 1 species
UAUCACUCUUGGAUGGACCCUGCGGUGCAUUAGCUAGUUGGUAGGGUAACGGGCCUACCAAGGCGAUGAUGCAUAGCCGAGUUGAGAGACUGAUCGGCCACAUUGGGACUGAGACACGGCCCAAACUCCUACGGGAGGCAGCAGUAGGGAAUCUUCCACAAUGGACGCAAGUCUGAUGGAGCAACGCCGCGUGAGUGAAGAAGGGUUUCGGCUCGUAAAGCUCUGUUGUUGGUGAAGAAGGACAGGGGUAGUAACUAACCUUUGUUCGACGGUAAUCAAUUAGAAAGUCACGGCUAACUACGUGCCAGCAGCCGCGGUAAU